rnacentral:rRNA from 1 species
AGAACGAACGCUGGCGGCAUGCCUAACACAUGCAAGUCGAACGAGACCUUCGGGUCUAGUGGUGCACGGGUGCGUAACGCGUGGGAAUCUGCCCUUGGGUACGGAAUAACAGUUAGAAAUGACUGCUAAUACCGUAUAAUGACUUCGGUCCAAAGAUUUAUCGCCCAGGGAUGAGCCCGCGUAGGAUUAGCUAGUUGGUGAGGUAAAGGCUCACCAAGGCGACGAUCCUUAGCUGGUCUGAGAGGAUGAUCAGCCACACUGGGACUGAGACACGGCCCAGACUCCUACGGGAGGCAGCAGUAGGGAAUCUUGCGCAAUGGGCGAAAGCCUGACGCAGCCAUGCCGCGUGAAUGAUGAAGGUCUUAGGAUUGUAAAAUUCUUUCACCGGGACGAAUAAGUGAACGGUACCCGGAAGAAGAACGCCCCGGACUAACUUCGUGCCAGCAGCCGC